UCACUUCAGCAGUGAACAUAUUAAAACUGGAACGAUACAGAGAAGAUGAUCAUGACACCUGUGUGAAUUCAUGAAGUAGUCCAUAUUUUU
rnacentral:snRNA from 1 species